AGCAGUCGCCACGGUAAAACGUAGGUGGCAAGCGUUGUCCGGAAUUAUUGGGCGUAAAGGGCUCGCAGGCGGUUUCUUAAGUCUGAUGUGAAAGCCCCCGGCUCAACCGGGGAGGGUCAUUGGAAACUGGGAAACUUGAGUGCAGAAGAGGAGAGUGGAAUUCCACGUGUAGCGGUGAAAUGCGUAAAGAUGUGGAGGAACACCAGUGGCGAAGGCGACUCUCUGGUCUGUAACUGACGCUGAGGAGCGAAAGCGUGGGGAGCGAACAGGAUUAGAUACCCCGGUAGUCCCUGUCUCUUAUAC
rnacentral:rRNA from 1 species